UGGGGAAUAUUGCACAAUGGGCGCAAGCCUGAUGCAGCCAUGCCGCGUGUGUGAAGAAGGCCUUCGGUUGUAAAGCACUUUCAGCGAGGAGGAAGGUGGUGAGCUUAAUACGCUCAUCAAUUGACGUUACUCGCAGAAGAAGCACCGGCUAACUCCGUGCCAGCAGCCGCGGUAAUACGGAGGGUGCAAGCGUUAAUCGGAAUUACUGGGCGUAAGGCGCACGCAGGCGGUUUGUUAAGUCAGAUGUGAAAUCCCCCGGGCUCAACCUGGGAACUGCAUUUGAAACUGGCAAGCUAGAGUCUCGUAGAGGGGGGUAGAAUUCCAGGUGUAGCGGUGAAAUGCGUAGAGAUCUGGAGGAAUACCGGUGGCGAAGGCGGCCCCCUGGACGAAGACUGACGCUCAGGUGCGAAAGCGUGGGGAGCAAACAGAUUAGAUACCCUGGUAGUCCACGCUGUAAACGAUGUCGAUUUUU
rnacentral:rRNA from 1 species